CCAUUCCGGGGCUCCCCGCCCGGGCAGGAGUUUCCGCGCGCCUGGCACCCCCGCCCACCCCCGGGCCAUUUACCGAUGUGGUUGUCCUCGAUGUGCUCGAUGAGGUCGGCCAGGGUGGGGAAGUGGAGUCCGCAGCCCCCGAAUCGGCAGAGAUGGAGUUUUGCCAUUUGCCCAGGCUGGACUCGCAGUCCUGGACUCAACCACCUUGGCCUCCCAAAGUGCUGGGAUUACAGGGGUUCCUGUUGAGAUUAAAGUAAAUGCAUUUACCAGCAUACAUGUCAUGGAAGACUGACUCUGCACCAUGCUCUGUGACAAAAGGCUUCAAGAUUAAACCGGUUUGGUAAAUCCUCUUCUUGGAGAUGCACAAUGCAUGUCUGCCUAUUAAAUCUCUGAGUGCUCCAGCAGUAGAGAUCCUGUUGAAAUUUAACUUUGUUGUUCUUAAAUUUCCUUGACUGUGGAGCCUUUUAAAACAAUUAUUUCACCUAUUAACAGCUGAAAACAUGCUGUCCUUUGGAGUACUUCUUGGGAAGCUCUGAAUGACGUCAAUUAAAU
rnacentral:lncRNA from 1 species